UACGUAGGGUGCAAGCGUUUGUCCGGAAUUAUUGGGCGUAAAGAGCUCGUAGGCGGUCUGUCACGUCGGCUGUGAAAACCCGAGGCUCAACCUCGGGCCUGCAGUCGAUACGGGCAAACUAGAGUACUGCAGGGGAGACUGGAAUUCCUGGUGUAGCGGUGAAAUGCGCAGAUAUCAGGAGGAACACCGGUGGCGAAGGCGGGUCUCUGGGCAGUAACUGACGCUGGAGGAGCGAAAGCGUGGGGAGCGAACAGG
rnacentral:rRNA from 1 species